GGGUUGUGAGGUUAAGCGACUAAGCGUACACGGUGGAUGCCCUGGCAGUCAGAGGCGAUGAAGGACGUGCUAAUCUGCGAAAAGCGUCGGUAAGGUGAUAUGAACCGUUAUAGCCGGCGAUGUCCGAAUGGGGAAACCCAGUGCAAUUCGUUGCACUAUCGUUAACUGAAUACAUAGGUUAACGAGGCGAACCGGGGGAACUGAAACAUCUAAGUACCCCGAGGAAAAGAAAUCAACCGAGAUUCCCCCAGUAGCGGCGAGCGAACGGGGAGCAGCCCAGAGUCUGAAUCAGCUUGUGUGUUAGUGGAACGGUCUGGAAAGUCCGACGGUACAGGGUGAUAGUCCCGUACACCAAAAUGCACAGGCUGUGAACUCGAAGAGUAGGGCGGGACACGUGGUAUCCUGUCUGAAUAUGGGGGGACCAUCCUCCAAGGCUAAAUACUUCUGACUGACCGAUAGUGAACCAGUACCGUGAGGGAAAGGCGAAAAGAACCCCGGCGAGGGGAGUGAAAAAGAACCUGAAACCGUGUACGUACAAGCAGUGGGAGCACCUUCGGGUGUGACUGCGUACCUUUUGUAUAAUGGGUCAGCGACUUAUAUUCUGUAGCAAGGUUAACCGUAUAGGGGAGCCGCAGGGAAACCGAGUCUUAACUGGGCGUUAAGUUGCAGGGUAUAGACCCGAAACCCGGUGAUCUAGCCAUGGGCAGGUUGAAGGUUGGGUAACACUAACUGGAGGACCGAACCGACUAAUGUUGAAAAAUUAGCGGAUGACUUGUGGCUGGGGGUGAAAGGCCAAUCAAACCGGGAGAUAGCUGGUUCUCCCCGAAAGCUAUUUAGGUAGCGCCUCGUGAAUUCAUCUUCGGGGGUAGAGCACUGUUUCGGCUAGGGGGUCAUCCCGACUUACCAACCCGAUGCAAACUACGAAUACCGAAGAAUGUUAUCACGGGAGACACACGGCGGGUGCUAACGUCCGUCGUGAAGAGGGAAACAACCCAGACCGCCAGCUAAGGUCCCAAAGUCAUGGUUAAGUGGGAAACGAUGUGGGAAGGCACAGACAGCCAGGAUGUUGGCUUAGAAGCAGCCAUCAUUUAAAGAAAGCGUAAUAGCUCACUGGUCGAGUCGGCCUGCGCGGAAGAUGUAACGGGGCUAAACCAUGCACCGAAGCUGCGGCAGCGACACUAUGUGUUGUUGGGUAGGGGAGCGUUCUGUAAGCCUGCGAAGGUGUGCUGUGAGGCAUGCUGGAGGUAUCAGAAGUGCGAAUGCUGACAUAAGUAACGAUAAAGCGGGUGAAAAGCCCGCUCGCCGGAAGACCAAGGGUUCCUGUCCAACGUUAAUCGGGGCAGGGUGAGUCGACCCCUAAGGCGAGGCCGAAAGGCGUAGUCGAUGGGAAACAGGUUAAUAUUCCUGUACUUGGUGUUACUGCGAAGGGGGGACGGAGAAGGCUAUGUUAGCCGGGCGACGGUUGUCCCGGUUUAAGCAUGUAGGCUGGUUAUCCAGGCAAAUCCGGAUAAUCAAGGCUGAGGUGUGAUGACGAGGCACUACGGUGCUGAAGUAACAAAUGCCCUGCUUCCAGGAAAAGCCUCUAAGCAUCAGGUAACAUCAAAUCGUACCCCAAACCGACACAGGUGGUCAGGUAGAGAAUACCAAGGCGCUUGAGAGAACUCGGGUGAAGGAACUAGGCAAAAUGGUGCCGUAACUUCGGGAGAAGGCACGCUGGUGUGUAGGUGAAGCCCCUGCGGGUGGAGCUGAGACCAGUCGAAGAUACCAGCUGGCUGCAACUGUUUAUUAAAAACACAGCACUGUGCAAACACGAAAGUGGACGUAUACGGUGUGACGCCUGCCCGGUGCCGGAAGGUUAAUUGAUGGGGUUAUCCGUAAGGAGAAGCUCUUGAUCGAAGCCCCGGUAAACGGCGGCCGUAACUAUAACGGUCCUAAGGUAGCGAAAUUCCUUGUCGGGUAAGUUCCGACCUGCACGAAUGGCGUAAUGAUGGCCAGGCUGUCUCCACCCGAGACUCAGUGAAAUUGAACUCGCUGUGAAGAUGCAGUGUACCCGCGGCAAGACGGAAAGACCCCGUGAACCUUUACUAUAGCUUGACACUGAACAUUGAGCCUUGAUGUGUAGGAUAGGUGGGAGGCUUUGAAGCGUGGACGCCAGUCUGCGUGGAGCCAACCUUGAAAUACCACCCUUUAAUGUUUGAUGUUCUAACGUUGGCCCCUGACCGGGGUUGCGGACAGUGUCUGGUGGGUAGUUUGACUGGGGCGGUCUCCUCCCAAAGCGUAACGGAGGAGCACGAAGGUUAGCUAAUCCUGGUCGGACAUCAGGAGGUUAGUGCAAUGGCAUAAGCUAGCUUGACUGCGAGCGUGACGGCGCGAGCAGGUGCGAAAGCAGGUCAUAGUGAUCCGGUGGUUCUGAAUGGAAGGGCCAUCGCUCAACGGAUAAAAGGUACUCCGGGGAUAACAGGCUGAUACCGCCCAAGAGUUCAUAUCGACGGCGGUGUUUGGCACCUCGAUGUCGGCUCAUCACAUCCUGGGGCUGAAGUAGGUCCCAAGGGUAUGGCUGUUCGCCAUUUAAAGUGGUACGCGAGCUGGGUUUAGAACGUCGUGAGACAGUUCGGUCCCUAUCUGCCGUGGGCGCUGGAGAAUUGAGGGGGGCUGCUCCUAGUACGAGAGGACCGGAGUGGACGCAUCACUGGUGUUCGGGUUGUCAUGCCAAUGGCACUGCCCGGUAGCUAAAUGCGGAAGAGAUAAGUGCUGAAAGCAUCUAAGCACGAAACUUGCCCCGAGAUGAGUUCUCCCUGAGACUUUAAGUCUCCUGAAGGAACGUUAAAGACGAUGACGUUGAUAGGCCGGGUGUGUAAGCGCAGCGAUGCGUUGAGCUAACCGGUACUAAUGAACCGUGAGGCUUAACCUUACAACGCCGAAG
rnacentral:rRNA from 1 species